UGGGGAAUAUUGCACAAUGGGGGAAACCCUGCUGCAGCGACGCCGCGUGAAGGAAGAAGUAUCUCGGUAUGUAAACUUCUAUCAGCAGGGAAGAUAGUGACGGUACCUGACUAAGAAGCCCCGGCUAACUACGUGCCAGCAGCCGCGGUAAUACGUAGGGGGCAAGCGUUAUCCGGAUUUACUGGGUGUAAAGGGAGCGUAGACGGUGUGUCAAGUCUGAUGUGAAAGGCAUGGGCUCAACCUGUGGACUGCAUUGGAAACUGUCAUACUUGAGUGCCGGAGGGGUAAGCGGAAUUCCUAGUGUAGCGGUGAAAGGAGUAGAUAUUAGGAGGAACACCAGUGGCGAAGGCGGCUUACUGGACGGUAACUGACGUUGAGGCUCGAAAGCGUGGGGAGCAAACAGG
rnacentral:rRNA from 1 species